CGAGGGUUCGAAUCCCUCUCUUUCCU
rnacentral:tRNA from 1 species